CCUACGGGAGGCAGCAGUGGGGAAUAUUGCACAAUGGGGGAAACCCUGAUGCAGCGACGCCGCGUGAGUGAAGAAGUAUUUAGGUAUGUAAAGCUCUAUCAGCAGGGAAGAAAAUGACGGUACCUGAUUAAGAAGCACCGGCUAACUCUGUGCAAGCAGCCGCGGUAAUACGGAGGAUGCGAGCGUUAUCCGGAUUUACUGGGUGUAAAGGGGGCGUAGACGGCAGCGCAAGUCUGAAGUGAAAUGCCGGGGCUUAACCCCGGAACUGCUUUGGAAACUGUGCAGCUAGAGUGCAGGAGAGGUAAGUGGAAGUGCUAGUGUAGCGGUGAAAUGCGUAGAUAUUAGGAGGAACACCAGUGGCGAAGGCGGCUUACUGGACUGUAACUGACGUUGAGGCUCGAAAGCGGGGGGAGCAAACAGGAUUAGAUCCCUUGUAGUC
rnacentral:rRNA from 1 species